UACGUAGGGGGCAAGCGUUGUCCGGAAUCAUUGGGCGUAAAGCGCGUGUAGGCGGCUUGGUAAGUCCGCUCUGAAAGCCCGGGGCUCAACCCCGGGAGGCGGGUGGAUACUGUCAAGCUCGAGUCCGGAAGAGGCGAGUGGAAUUCCUGGUGUAGCGGUGGAAUGCGCAGAUAUCAGGAGGAACACCAAUGGCGAAGGCAGCUCGCUGGGACGGUACUGACGCUGAGACGCGAAAGCGUGGGGAGCGAACAGG
rnacentral:rRNA from 1 species